AGGAAUAUAGUUAAUUAUAACAUUUAAUUUGCAAUUAAAAAUUAUUUAAAAAAUUAUUCUUA
rnacentral:tRNA from 1 species